CCUACGGGAGGCAGCAGUGAGGAAUAUUGGUCAAUGGGCGCAAGCCUGAACCAGCCAAGUCGCGUGAGGGAUGACGGUCCUAUGGAUUGUAAACCUCUUUUGUCGGGGAGCAAGGCCCGCCACGUGUGGCGGGAAGGAGAGUACCCGAAGAAAAAGCAUCGGCUAACUCCGUGCCAGCAGCCGCGGUAAUACGGAGGAUGCGAGCGUUAUCCGGAUUUAUUGGGUUUAAAGGGUGCGUAGGCGGAAGGUUAAGUCAGCGGUAAAAUGUCGGUGCUCAACACCGGCCGGCCGUUGAAACUGGUCUUCUUGAGUGAGCGAGAAGUAUGCGGAAUGCGUGGUGUAGCGGUGAAAUGCAUAGAUAUCACGCAGAACUCCGGUUGCGAAGGCAGCAUACCGGCGCUCAACUGACGCUGAGGCACGAAAGCGUGGGGAUCGAACAGGAUUAGAUACCCUUGUAGUC
rnacentral:rRNA from 1 species